rnacentral:rRNA from 1 species
CAGCAGCCCGAGUGGUGGUCGUUUUUAUUGGGCCUAAAGCGUCCGUAGCCGGUCUAGUAAAUCCUUGGAUAAAUCGUACAGCUUAACUGUACGGCUCCCGGGGAGACUGCUAGACUUGGGACUGGGAGAGGUCGGAGGUACUCCAGGGGUAGGGGUGAAAUCUUGUAAUCCUUGGGGGACCACCAGUGGCGAAGGCGUCCGACCAGAACGGGUCCGACGGUAAGGGACGAAGCCCUGGGUCGCGAACCGGAUUAGAUACCCGAGUAGUCC